UCUCGGUGGAUAAUCUGCUUCUCUGCAUACGUGUGGAGAUAAGUUAAUGCAUGCGCCACAUCGAUGGAUAUUUCAAGCCUUUGAUUAAAGUCUAGAAUUUUUCCACGCUGACCGUCCAAAUGUACUCUGAGACUACCAUUUGGCACAUACUCUGUAAUAAUAAGACGCUCAUUUCCUUGAUCAACAAAACCAAGUAACUUCACCAGAUUCCGAUGAUCAAUUUUUGCUAGAAGCUCAACUUCACUGCUGAAUUCAGUUCGCAAUUUCUCAUAGUGUUCCUUCUUUGCUCGUUUUAUGGCAACCAUCUGCCCAUCUUCUAGUUGGGCCUUGUAGACAGUUCCAAAACCUCCUUCUCCUAUCCGAAGUGAUGGAGAAAAGUUGUGUGUAGCUCUUGUAACCUGAUUCAAAUUGAGAUGAAUUGACCCCAGUCUAGUGAGUUUAGGAGACAUUGAAAAUCUAGAAGGACUAGGUGGCACCCGAAGUGGACUGGGUGGAACUUUUUCAGGACCAGAAUUCACAUCCAAAGAGGAUACUGAAUCCAUUGAAUUCAGAUCCUUAGCAAGAACAGAGUGGGUAGUUGCUUUCCUUUUCCUGUAAAAACAGGGACACAGAAGACCGCAACCCAUGACAACAAUUCUAGUUGCUACUAAACCUACUUGUUUUGGGGUUGAAAAAGUUGUAGGAUCAUUUUUCUUCUCUUCUAGAGGAAUAUCCUGAACAAUAUCACGGCUUUUGGACUGUUCCGCUAUCUGCUUUUGCAAAAGUUUUCUUCCUCGAUUGAGGGACAAGUUAGCUAACUAACAUAGUGUUCAAAGCCCAGUUGCUACAAUAGCUGUAGAUCGAAAUUCCAGCUACAACUCUCCAAGACCUCAAAAGUGCCAAAAACCUUACAGUGGAACAAAAUCCUCCUGAAGAAAGGGGGCGGCUAAAGAAAUAAGAUGAUUGAUUGACUUCUUUUUUUUUUUUAAGAGAAGAAUCAAAGGAAGUGAAAACUGAGCAGCCUAGACAUUUUGUUAGGACUUUUGGAAGGAAAUAAAGGAGGGAAGGGAAGGAAGGGAGGAAAUGGUGGAGAAAUGAUGCAGUGAUUGCCGUCUCCUCCUUCUUCUUCUUCUUCU
rnacentral:misc_RNA from 1 species